CCGCAGCGAUUCUGACGUGCAAAUCGAUCGUCAGACUUGGGUAUAGGGGCGAAAGACUAAUCGAACCAUCUAGUAGCUGGUUCCCUCCGAAGUUUCCCUCAGGAUAGCUGGCACUCGCCAACACGAAGUUUUUUCCGGUAAAGCGAAUGAUUAGAGGCCUUGGGGACGAAACGUCCUCAACCUAUUCUCAAACUUUAAAUGGGGAAGAAGCCCGGCUCGCUCGAUCACGGCACCCCUUCACGGGGGGCCGUGGAGCCGGGC
rnacentral:rRNA from 1 species